AGGACGAACGCUGGCGGCGUGCUUAACACAUGCAAGUCGAACGAACUUUCUUCCUUCGGGUUGAAAGUGAGUGGCGAACGGGUGAGUAACACGUGAGCAACCUGCCCUUGACACUGGAAUAACAGUUGGAAACAGCUGCUAAUACCGGAUAUGACCUCUUACGACAUCGUCUGGAGGUGGAAAGCUCCGGCGGUCAAGGAUGGGCUCGCGGCCUAUCAGCUUGUUGGUGAGGUAACGGCUCACCAAGGCUUCGACGGGU
rnacentral:rRNA from 1 species